rnacentral:rRNA from 1 species
CCUCACGCUAUCAGAUGAGCCUAGGUCGGAUUAGCUAGUUGGUGGGGUAAUGGCCUACCAAGGCGACGAUCCGUAACUGGUCUGAGAGGAUGAUCAGUCACACUGGAACUGAGACACGGUCCAGACUCCUACGGGAGGCAGCAGUGGGGAAUAUUGGACAAUGGGCGAAAGCCUGAUCCAGCCAUGCCGCGUGUGUGAAGAAGGUCUUCGGAUUGUAAAGCACUUUAAGUUGGGAGGAAGGGCUGCUGGUUAAUACCCUGCAGUUUUGACGUUACCAACAGAAUAAGCACCGGCUAACUUCGUGCCAGCAGCCGCGGUAAUACGAAGGGUGCAAGCGUUAAUCGGAAUUACUGGGCGUAAAGCGCGCGUAGGUGGUUGGGUAAGUUGAAUGUGAAAGCCCCGGGCUCAACCUGGGAACUGCAUCCAAAACUGCCCGACUAGAGUACGGUAGAGGGUGGUGGAAUUUCCUGUGUAGCGGUGAAAUGCGUAGAUAUAGGAAGGAACACCAGUG